GAUGAACGCUGGCGGCGUGCCUAAUACAUGCAAGUCGAGCGAACGGACGAGAAGCUUGCUUUUCUGAUGUUAGCGGCGGACGGGUGAGUAACACGUGGAUAACCUACCUAUAAGACUGGGAUAACUUCGGGAAACCGGAGCUAAUACCGGAUAAUAUUUUGAACCGCAUUGUUCAAAAGUGAAAGACGGUCUUUCUGUCACUUAUAGAUGGAUCCGCGCUGCAUUAGCUAGUUGGUAAGGUAACGGCUUACCAAGGCAACGAUGCAUAGCCGACCUGAGAGGGUGAUCGGACACACGGGAACUGAGACACGGUCCAGACUCCUACGGGAGGACGCAGUAGGGAAUCUUACGCAAUGGGCGAAAGCCUGACGGAGCACCGCCGCGUGAGUGAUGAAGGUCUUCGGAUCGUAAAACUCUGUUAUUAGGGAAGAACAUAUGUGUAAGUAACUGUGCACAUCUUGACGGUACCUAAUCAGAAAGCCACGGCUAACUACGUG
rnacentral:rRNA from 1 species